UGGGGAAUAUUGCACAAUGGGCGAAAGCCUGAUGCAGCGACGCCGCGUGAGGGAUGAAGGCCUUCGGGUUGUAAACCUCUUUCAGUAGGGAAGAAGCGAAAGUGACGGUACCUGCAGAAGAAGCGCCGGCUGACUACGUGCCAGCAGCCGCGGUAAUACGUAGGGCGCAAGCGUUGUCCGGAAUUAUUGGGCGUAAAGAGCUCGUAGGCGGUUUGUCGCGUCUGGUGUGAAAACUCAAGGCUCAACCUUGAGCUUGCAUCGGGUACGGGCAGACUAGAGUGCGGUAGGGGUGACUGGAAUUCCUGGUGUAGCGGUGGAAUGCGCAGAUAUCAGGAGGAACACCGAUGGCGAAGGCAGGUCACUGGGCCGCAACUGACGCUGAGGAGCGAAAGCAUGGGAGCGAACAGGAUUAGAUACCCUGGUAGUCCAUGCCGUAAACGUUGGGCACUAGGUGUGGGGCUCGAUUCCACGAGUU
rnacentral:rRNA from 1 species